UGAAAUUUUCCUGGCCCAAAGAUCCUUACCUGUAAAAUGAGGAGGUUGUAGUAGACACACUCUAACUUUCAACCAUGGCAUAUACAUUGUAUGGCUGAUGACUUUGUGCAUUUCUAAUUUAUUCCAUGACCCCACUUGUUUAAUUUGUUCGGAUUAACUAUAUGCUAUUUGUUUGUACUGAGAUUUUGUUUUUUUUUUAAUUACAGGUUAUUUGUAAAAGACUAUAGUGUAUUAUGGCAUGUUACAGGCUACCAAGCAUCAAAGCCAUAAUGAGUUAAACUUUUUACAUCAUUAGGGUGGGAAAGGUGGAAAAAAGAAGAAAAAUAAAAACUCUUCUAAACCACAGAAAAACAAUGGAUCCACUUGGGCCAAUGUCCCUCUACCUCCUCCCCCAGUCCAGCCCCUUCCUGGUACAGAGCUGGAACACUAUGCAGUGGAACAACAAGAAAAUGGCUAUGACAGUGAUAGCUGGUGCCCACCAUUGCCAGUACAAACUUACUUACACCAAGGUCUGGAAGAUGAACUGGAAGAAGAUGAUGAUAGGGUCCCAACACCUCCUGUUCGAGGCGUGGCUUCUUCUCCUGCUAUCUCCUUUGGACAGCAGUCCACUGCAACUCUUACUCCAUCCCCACGGGAAGAGAUGCAACCCAUGCUGCAGGCUCACCUGGAUGAGUUGACAAGAGCCUAUCAGUUUGAUAUAGCAAAACAAACAUGGUAAAUAUCUUCAUUGAGUCAAGAGACCCAUGCUUUCAACACAUGGAAAUUUUUGGGGGAGUAA
rnacentral:sRNA from 1 species